UUCUCGUAACAGUAACAACACAGAUAUUUCGCCUGAAAUACCUCAGCUAGAGGGUCGGCGUAGCAGUGACACAAUCUGGUGUGACUGCGGAUCCUGCCAGAUAAUGGCUAGAGACUAUGAGUGUGUGUGUCGUAGAGAGAUGGUGGCAAUACAGCACAAAAUCCCAGCGGAUGGCGAUGUAUCGGACGUGUCGUAAUUCCUUGUGAAGGACUUCCUGGCAGAAGAGGUUACUCGACCAGUCAGCAGCAUGUAUGCCAGUUAAAUAAUUGCUUACAUUUUGCUUGAUUAUAAAUUGCUUAAAGCUAACAUCAGUAGUGGAGCAUACAGGCUGGCUGCUUAUCGCCAGUUCACUGUAGAGGCACAAGGGAGAACUGGACGAUGUGUCAUCCCUGCGUGUGUCGUCUCAUCCAUAAGGCACGCAUACCCAGAAGCAAUUGGCAUUUACGGACAUUGGAUUUGGAUCAUUUUAAAAUGCUCAAUAAUACCACCCCCUUGCCCUCAGAACAGUCUCAAUUCGUCUGGGCAUGAACUCUACAAGGUGUCGAAGGUGUUCCACAUGGAUGCUGGCUCAUGUUGACUCCAAUGCUUCCCACAGUUGUGUCAAGUUGGUUGGAUGUUCUUUGGGUGGUAUUAAAAACCCAGCAGCGUUGCAGUUCUUGAUAGGGCAUUGGGACCACCAUGAGCCGCCAGAACAGCUUCAUUACACCUUGGCAUGUAUUCUACAAGUGUCUGGAACUUCCUGUGUGGAAGCACCUGCGUUCAAUAUACUUUGUAUCCC
ensembl:lncRNA